AAAAACCAACCAAACAAACAAACCAAAACAAAAACCAAAGGAAGGCACGACGGCAAAGUCUCAUUAGUUGCCGAUGGUUGCUGAAGAGCCUUUAUGAGAAGAAAUGAGACCAAGGAAAGAGUCAUAACAAAAACAAAGAGCUGUUUGGGAAGAAUUUUCUCAUGAAUGCAUGAAAUUCAGUAUAAUGAGCAAUGAUGACAAAUACAAAACAUUGACAACUUCCAGUUACAUGCAAGCAAUGAAAACACAAAUGUCUCUACAGACAGGGACAAAGAACAUUUUGUCACAGUCUGCUUUUGGAUAUGAAUAGCCACAAAAUGAUUGCAUAAGGGACGGCACAAUUUACACCACUGAUGGCAUAACUGACCUACUAACAGGAUAAAAGGAAUCUGCUUUCACACGUCCAAACAACACGCAAAACCUUCAACAAAAUGACUACAUUUCUAACUGCAUCAAUUUCCUAUUGGUGACCAACACAGCAACAGGUCUGUUACUUGAGUUAUUUGUUCAUGCUUGGGUAAGUGGAAGAUGCAAACAGAAGAGGGAAAAUGCAGAGAUCUGGUUGAGAAAAGGAAUCUUUAAGACACUGCCAAUUGAGAGGAAAGAAGCUGUGGGCUGACUUUAGAUUCUGAGAUGCACUGGAAGAUAUUAAACACAAGCAGGCAUGGGUAUGCAUACCAGCUAUUGGGGUAAGUUUGGGGAAACACUGAAGUUGACAAUCAGAAGCUAAGAUUCCUUACUAGUAACGAGAACUGGGAAGAUGCACUGUCAACAUCUCCUUCUAUGCUAUGCUUCACUUACAUGCUGUGUAGUUUCACAAUCAUUUUCCACUGAAUCAAUGCUUACAAGGUGUGGUUGAUGCAUGAAUAAAUCACCAGUGUGUCAUACACCUCAACCAACACCUCAAAUGUAGAAGCUCAGAGCUAUCAAAGGGCUAUCAGGAGAGAGGAAGAAGGAAAUUAUACUUACAGGGGAGCAAUUGUUUUAAAUAAUAUCCAUGCAUCGUCACUUCUUUAAUCUUAUUUGGAUUAUAGGUAAAUUCAAGUUACUGCUUAGCAUCUAACUUCACUGCUCCAAUUCUGAUUCCACAUCUUCAGGUUUUACAAAAGAAUCUUUCACAGAAACAACACAUGGAACAUAACUUUACAUGUACUAGGUACUUAUUUUUUUCUUAUAUUUAUGUUGCCUGGUACAGUUGCAUCAGAGCAAAGAUUUAGGUUUUGUAAAAUUAAACCUUGCAUGCUGCUACAUUUUUAUUCCGUAUCAAGAAAAGGGAGUUUUUUGGUUGAAAAGAAGUGAAAUCUUCAGGCUGGGGAUAUUAUGGGGACAUUACACCUUUACAUGGCUGAGUGCACAACAACUUUCAGUAUUGUGAAUGCAAUCUAAAUUCACUUGGGCAGGCCAACAGCCAUAUAUUCCUGAAUUCUUGCUUCAUGUUGUCCGUAGUUACAGAGGACAUUGGCUAAAAGACAUCAGAGUUUAAAGCCCAUAUUCAAAAAUGGUGCUGCCCACUGUCUCAUGCACCUCCAUUUAGUAACGGCAAGAGAGCAUUAGAUAGAAUAAGUGUGAUGACUGCAGCAAACUAUAUAAAGUCAUGCAACUCAAGUUUUUAUGCUCCCUCUGCUAAAACCCCUAUGAUUUUUGAUGUCUGCUCUAAUCUGUCUACAUUCCAUGUAACAUACCAGCUGCCCAUUAAAAUCUUGAUCUAGAAAAUACUGUGAUAAAAACUACUGAUUUUAUAUCUUAAGUCAAUUUUAUAACCACUUUGGCUGACUACUUGUGGUAUAAGCUCUGUAUGAUGUAUGUCAGAACAAUUUGAUGAUCUUUAAGAUCUCUUCCAACGUAGGCUAUUUUAUGAUUCUAUGGUAUUUCUUAAUUUUAGUAAUCCCUCUGAUUUUAGCUGAAUAUUGCUUCGGGUUGAUUGUACUCCAUGAUUAGUAAAAAAGAAAAUUCAAGAGACAGAAGCAGUACUUGAUAGACUCAAACUAAACAAAGGUUUAGAAUGAGAUGCAAAACUCUUAUUGUAGAUCACUGCAUUAAAAAUUACUCAUGCUACUGUAUUAGAUACAGCCAAGUCUCUGCCUUUUUGAUCUUUAUCCAAUUCUAAUGCCUAUACACACACAUACACACAUGAAUGAAGGAAACAUCUCACCUAUAAUUAAUCUCUAUGCACAGAUGUGCACAAGAAACUGUACACAACAGAAUACAGUGAAGCUGAAUGAUUAAUGUGUCUGGAAUACCCCUUUUUAUCUCUAGCAGAUAAAUUACCCCAUAUUUGCAGGACAGCUGCAAGGGUAUGAAGCAGCAAAAGCCUGUGACUGGACUUUGCACCUAAUAACCAAACUGAGAAGCUGCUAGAAUCCCACAUGUCAGUGAACAGAACUGCUGCUGCCAUCACAACCUCCAAGGUCAGAAGCCACAGAACUUUUACCACCCCAUCCCUAUCUCCAGUGGAGAGGGCAUCUUUGGACCUGCUGGGAAGAUAAGAGACUGGAAGCACAGUACCAGAGAUGUUUUUUAUGACAAGACAAAUCCUCUACCCAAACUACCUUGAAGAAUCAAAAAUUAGCAGGCAGCUUGGUGUGCUCCCAGCAUAUACUUGGGAUGCCAGGCUAAACCACAUGAGCUUUCUGGUCAAACACAGCAGGUCAAAAUUAGCAGGCAGCCUACACUACCAGGGGCAGAGGCUGAGAAAACCUCAAGGCAGGAAAAUCAGUGUACAGGUAUGAAAAAAACUGCCCAGGCUGUUACAGUAAAUGACUUUUAUUUUUUAAAAAAUGAAAUAACCGUGAACAUAUUAACAGGCCUGCAAGUGGCACUACAGUACAGCUGGAGAUAAGGUCAAUACAUUUCCCCAUGUACCUGGACAAUGAAAUCCAUUGCAUCAAUGCUGACAUUAGUAAAUUCUGAAUACAGUUCUAUCAAGCAGGAACAUUUGACUUAAAAUAGUUCUGGACAAAGUUGACACCAAAAGUUAACUUUUCCUUCACUUUGGAAAGGAUAUAUGUUUUAUAGAUGUUUUCAGGUAGCACUUGUAUUGGGUGAAUAUUGCCUGCAGUCACCAGUGCAGGGAGAGAUGUACAACAUCUCCUUGUGAGAACAGAGUUUAUACUCCUUUUUACUUUUCAUUCUGAGGAAGCAGGGUGGCGUAAAGAGAGGGGGGAAGAUAGGUGAGGUAAUACGGGCAAGGGAGAUGGGAUGUCAAUUUCUAUUCAAUUCUCCUUUGGCUGUUUUUGUGCUAUUUUGGACUGCUUUUUAAAAAUCACUUCUUGAUUUUAUUGAAAGGAAGACUAAAUGUAAUACACCUUUCCUUGAAAAUCCAGGAACAAUUGUGGUACUUCAAAAAUACUAAAAAUAUCUACUUUCAUGAAAUAUUAACUGUUUCACUACAAACCUAUUUUUUCACUAAAUACACAAUUCUCUUAUUUCUGGAGUCUCCCUGGGG